rnacentral:rRNA from 1 species
UACGUAGGGCGCAAGCGUUGUCCGGAAUUAUUGGGCGUAAAGAGCUCGUAGGCGGUCUGUCGCGUCCGUUGUGAAAACUCGAGGCUCAACCUCGGGCUUGCAGUGGAUACGGGCAGACUAGAGUGCGGUAGGGGAGACUGGAAUUCCUGGUGUAGCGGUGGAAUGCGCAGAUAUCAGGAGGAACACCGAUGGCGAAGGCAGGUCUCUGGGCCGCAACUGACGCUGAGGAGCGAAAGCAUGGGGAGCAAACGGG